rnacentral:tRNA from 1 species
GGGUCGGUAGCUCAGUUGGUAGAGCNNCAGGGGCCUUUUAAGCCCAAGGUCCUGGGUUCGAUCCCCAGCCGACCCACCA